rnacentral:rRNA from 1 species
GAUCGCGGUGACGUGGGCGGUUCGCUGUCGGCAACGUCAUAAGAAGUCCACUGAACCAUAUCAUUUAAAGGAAGGAGAAGUCGUAACAAGGUUUCCGUAGGUGAACCUGCGGAAGGAUCAUUGUCGAU